AAAUCCAAGCUCUGAAAAGGAAUACGAUACGAAAAGUAGAUUUUUAUAAUGUAGUAUUUGGAGUUAUUUGAAGCACAAAAAAUCAGUCGUGAACUCAACACCAAACCAAAACACUAGCCCUAGGUUCCUUGCCGCCGCUUCUUCCUCUUCCCCUGUCCGGAAGCCAGGUAGCUCGGCACGUCGCCCCCAUCCUCGUGGCGUCUCUGUUCGUGGCUUGGAGCAGCUCGCCGUCGGAUCGCCGCUUGCCGUCCGUGUCUCCGUCGAAGUUGCUAGAAGAAGAGGUGAUGAACAAGUUGGAAGAUAUCAGGUUGGCCUAGUGGAACAGUAUUCAGGUUACAUGAGGAAGAGGAGAACAUAGAAGUAAUGCAAAAUUUGGAAUCGAUUCUUAGAAAACUCAUGUCAUUGCAAAAAUACUUUUUUUUUUAAAUAGUAUUUUUUAUUUUUUUCUAUUAUAGCUUUUUAAUAGCUUUUUUAUGUUAUUAUUAAUAGCUUUUCUACCCAAUAGUUUUGCUAAUAAUAAAUGGAAUACAAUUGUAUUUUUUGU